rnacentral:rRNA from 1 species
UACAGAGGGUGCGAGCGUUAAUCGGAAUUACUGGGCGUAAAGCGCACGUAGGCGGCUUGGUAUGUCGGGGGUGAAAUCCCCGGGCUCAACCUGGGAACUGCAUCCGAAACUGCCUUGCUCGAGUAUGGGAGAGGGAAGUGGAAUUUCCGGUGUAGCGGUGAAAUGCGUAGAUAUCGGAAGGAACAUCAGUGGCGAAGGCGACUGCCUGGACCAAUACUGACGCUCAGGUGCGAAAGCGUGGGGAGCAAACAGG